rnacentral:ncRNA from 1 species
GAGAAUUUAAACCGUGUCGGUUCCCGCAAGGGAUCAAUAGGGAAUGCGGUGCUGGCACAAUGCCAAAUGCCGCGGCUGCCCCCGCAACUGUAAGCGGCGAGCCCUCGACCCCAAUGCCACUGGAACACCAUUUCCGGGAAGGCUGGUCGAGACGCUAGGACCCGCGAGCCAGGAGACCUGCCGACAGUCGUGGUCACACG